rnacentral:rRNA from 1 species
UGAGGAAUAUUGCCCAAUGGGGGAAACCCUGAGGCAGCAACGCCGCGUGGAGGAAGAAGGUCUUUACGAUCGUAAACUUCUUUUGUGAGGGAAGAGGAAGGACGGUACCUCAUGAAUAAGUCACGGCUAACUACGUGCCAGCAGCCGCGGUAAUACGUAGGUGACGAGCGUUAUCCGGAAUUACUGGGCGUAAAGCGUACGCAGGCGGCAUGGUAAGUCUGACGUGAAAUCUCCUGGCUUAACUGGGAGA